UGCAGUGUUCGCCCGCAGAUAUUAAGAAACCCCGGAGACCGAGCGCGCGAGAAUGAGCGCGAAGCGUCGCGCACGUGUCUUCGGGGUCGAGUCCCGCGGUCGCGCCUGUUUUACGCAUGCAGUGAACAUAUGCCGCUGUGCAAGCGUUUGAACACGAACACGCACCAGCGCGAGAUGACUCCCACAUCCCGCGCGCGCGCGCACAGAAACGCGGGAGUCUCGUGCUUCUGCCGAGCUGAGACUGAAGAGCGGAGCGGCGGGCGGAGUGAUUGGCAGGCUGACUCAGCCCUGACAGACACGUGGAUCCCAGCCGCCUGACGAGGCAAUAGACUGGCCCCGGGUCCUGAGUGGACAGAGAGGAAGAGCAGGAGGGAGAAUAAACAAGCGGGGGGAAAGGGAGCGAUAGGACGGGUGGAAAAGAAAUAUAUUGAUGGAUUUCAUUUGAAGUGAGAUAUCCACAGUUUGGAAAAGAACCGUGACAGGACGUCUAACAAAAUGAUUGAUAGAGCAAAAGGCAAGUAAAUAAUUGAAUUUCUGAAAGGGAGCAGAUAAAUAAAAGUUCUGGAGCUUAAGCCGCGCUGCAGAGUAUGAUACAUGUAUAAUGAUCUCAGCCUGUCACAGGCAUUUAGUGACACGAGUACAAUACAUUCAUUUAAGCCUGUUGCCGCGCUAAAUGAAUGACUGACUACAGAACACGACCAUCAAUCACACACAGUAAGUCCUAGGUAUACGUAUAAAUGAAAUGAGCACAUCAACGUAAUGAUAUACUGAGGUUUAAUACUACUCAGUAGGAACGGUAGGCUACAGUGCCAAACACGUUGCAGUAAAAGGCCAGAGUCAAAGUUCAUGUCUUCUGUCCUGCUGAGUUUUGACCCAGUAGUUUUGCCUGACGGCCGGUGAGUUGAUCAGACACCAAGUACAGGGUGCUCAGCUCUGUGCUCCCUCUGCUCGUAUUUACCUAAUUAAACAGGAGCAAAUAGACAAAUGGUGACGUCUUGGGCUUUCUAGAACUCCAGGCCAGUUAUUUUGGUGAAACCGUCCAAGUGCAUGAAAGCCAUGUAAUGUAAAACCAGCAGAACAUCAGCUGGAUCAAGCUGGAAAUAUAUUUCAGUUUUGACCCAGUGCUCUUGGAAAACACAUUUAACUGAGCAUAAUGUGAUGAUGCAGUGUUGCUCGCUGAAUGUCCCAGUUUAUAAAGUGUAGUUCUCUUCGUGUUAAAGGUUCUUUAUAUGUAAUGUAAUGUUACCUAUAUGUGUAUAUGGAAUGUAAUACUGAAUUCCUAUGCAACUAAAUGUACUGUAAGUUUACUUAAAUGUUUAAAUAGACAUUUGGAAAUGAA